GGAGAUUAGGCAUGCUUGAAAGGAUGGAACGCAGGUUGAAAGAGGGAGGAAAUGUGCAAGUUGGCUAAAACUUGCUUGGCACGGGAUGCAGUUCCUUGGGGUAACACCGCGGAAAACUUGGAAAAAGUAUCUGCAGAGAGAAGAAGAAGAAAACACCCGCUUGGGGCAGGUGCAAGUUCAUGUGCAUGCAUGAAACAUCUUAAGUAUUCUUAGAGAUCAUGGGAUUCCACAUAGAUUUCAUAGGGGAUUUCCCUGAGUUGCUUGGGGCCUUGCUAAGUUGCUGAGGCUGGCUUUGAACUCUCGAUCCUCCUGCGUCAGCCUCCUGAGCCACUGGGAUGACAGGUGUGUGCCACCACGCCCAGGGAGUAUUGUUCUUUAUGCGCAUCAACCAUCUUCAGAAUGUGACUGAAGCCUCAUCACUGCCGGCUUCCCCUGGACUAUGAAACAAGAGGGUGUAAUCAACAAAGUACAGCAAGAAAGAAGAAAAGGUAGGAUUGAAUCUUCUGGAAUCACAAAAAUGAGAGCUAAGGAAAGACAGGCAGAACCAGCAAAAGAAUCAAUAAGGAAAUGAGGAUUUAAAAGCACUCAAACUGCAUCUUCCUAAGGUCAACACUAAAUGUGGAACUUUCAACUACAAGAGAAAAUUGUUUGAGUGAGAGGCUACUUCCUGAUAGAAAUGAAAUCCAGUUCAUUCUGGACGAUGUAGAUGAUGA